rnacentral:rRNA from 1 species
UACGUAGGGUGCCAAGCGUUGUCCGGAAUUAUUGGGCGUAAAGAGCUCGUAGGCGGUUUGUCGCGUCUGCUGUGAAAACUCGGGGCUUAACCCCGGGCCUGCAGUGGGUACGGGCAGACUAGAGUGGCGGUAGGGAGGACUGGAAUUCCUGGUGUAGCGGUGAAAUGCGCAGAUAUCAGGAGGAACACCGGUGGCGAAAGGCGGGUCUCUGGGCCGAUACUGACGCUGAGGAGCGAAAAGCGGUGGGGAGC